CGAAUUUAUCAAGUGUGGAUGUGGAGAAGGAAAACCCCGCCUACGGCUCUCAGAAAUCAGAAUCCUCCACUGCGGUCUCCCAACCCUCCCCCUUCCCCUUCCCUCUCUUCUCUCUCUCUCUCUCUCUCUCUCUCUCGUUAGGGUUUUACGAAAUUGGUUCUUUGUUCUCUCGCCGUCAUAAUCAGGAGUUGUUAUGUUAUUUCCGCGAAUGGGUGAGACUGGAAAACGGUAUCAUUCACAGAGAGACCAUGACGGGGACAGAAGGAAUCAGAAGAGACGAGUGAACGAUGCUGAUGAAAAGGGAGACGGUGAAUUGGUUGUUUAUAGGAUACUCUGCCCAGAUGAUGUUAUUGGCAGUGUUAUUGGUAAGAAUGGAAAAGUGAUUAAUUCAAUAAGGCAAGAAACAAGGGCAAAAAUAAAGAUUGUGGAUCCCUUUCCCGGUGCCAAGGAUCGUGUUAUAACAAUCUACUGCUAUGUCAAGGGCAAGGAAGAUGUUGAGAUUGAUGAUGAGUUCAAUGGUAAGGAGCUUCUGUGUGCUGCACAAGACGCACUUCUCAAGAUUCAUGCUGCCAUUACGAAUUCCACUGCUGUAAUUGGAGAAUGGAGGAAAAAGCGAAAGGCUAAGGAGGAGUGUCAACUCCUUGUGCCAUCAAGUCAGGCUGCAAAUAUCAUUGGGAAGGCUGGGGCUACCAUUAAGAAGCUGAGGAGUAAGACGACAGCCAAUAUCAAAGUUGUUGCUAAGGAUGCGGCUGACCCGACACACUCCUGUGCUAUGGAUUUUGAUAAUUUUGUUUUGAUCACUGGUGAGGCAGCAGCAGUGGAAAGGGCCCUAUUUGCUGUUUCUUCUAUUAUGUACAAGUUCGGUCCCAAGGAAGACAUCUCUCUUGACACAUCUGUGCCAGAAGCCCCACCUAGCAUUAUUAUUCCUUCUGAACUUCCAAUUUAUCCACCUGGUGGACUAUAUCCAGUUUCAGACCCUAUUAUCCCACCUAGAUCCCUUCCUCAAAUUUUAGGUGCUACAAACAUGCGAGAUGUACAUGGUUAUGCUGAUGCAGGAAAUACAUGGCCUAUAUACUCAUCCGCCCUUCCAGCAGCUCCUGGGGCUCUUCCAGCAGCUUCUGGUGUAGGUGCUUCUCGUUCUGAGGAAUUAGUCAUUAGAAUGUUGUGUCCCUCGGACAAGAUUGGGCGAGUCAUUGGAAAAGGAGGGAGUACAAUUAAAAGUAUGAGGCAAGCGAUUGGUGCUCGUAUUGAAGUUGAUGAUUCGAAGGCAAAGCAUGAUGAGUGUUUAAUCAUUAUAACAACGAUUGAGUCACCAAGUGAUCUGAAGUCUAUGGCAGUUGAAGCUGUUCUAUUGAUGCAAGGGAAGAUAAACGAUGAAGAUGAUAACACGGUUUCAAUUCGGCUUCUAGUUCCAUCCAAAGUAAUAGGUUGUAUCAUUGGGAAAAGUGGUUCGAUUAUUAAUGAAAUUCGGAAGAGAACUAAAGCAGAUAUUCGAAUUUCUAAAGGUGAUAAACCAAAAUGUGCAGAUGUGAAUGAUGAACUUGUUGAGGUGGGAGGCAUAGUUGAUUGUGUGAGAGAUGCGCUAAUCCAGAUUAUCUUAAGACUGAGAGAAGAUGUGUUGAGAGAAAGAGACAAUGGCCACAAUCCCUCUGUUGGUGCUGAAUCCAUGUACUCUGGUGGUGCUGGACUUUCAGUGCCAUCUGUCCUACCUCCAGUCCCUCCUGUUGCCACACCAUUGGCUUAUGAUCAGAGGACUGAAAGUGAAACUGGCCUUGGAAUGUUUUCUUCAAGCAGCCUGUAUGGAUAUGGAUCUUUGUCGAUGGCAGAGAAUGGCUAUGGAUCGAUGCCCCCGUACGCCAGCAAGCUGUAUGGAGGGUUAUCUGCCUCCUCCAUCAACUUUGGAUAUGUUGAUUCCUGCUAGUGCUGUUAGUAAGGUUUUGGGUAAAGGAGGGGCAAAUAUAGCCAAUAUCAGGAAGAUUUCAGGAGCAAUGAUAGAAAUCUGUGACUCCAAUUCUGCCUGGGGUGAUCGUAUUGCCGUGAUAUCUGGCACACCUGAACAGAAGUGCGCAGCUGAAAACUUGAUCCAGGCUUUCAUAAUGGCCACCUGAAUUAUUGAGGUUCUUUCUCGGGGUUUUCGAAGGUGAAAAGUUUAAUUAUUGAAGCAUGUCUUUGUCCUGUCCAUAGUUUCAGUAGGUUGGUCCUGUAGAGAGAAUAUUCUCUGGUUCUUCAUCUGGAUUCAAGUUCUUCCAUAACAGCAGCUUGCAAGAUUGUGCCGGAGGAUCCAUUGAUGGUUUUUAUAUGUAGGAACGAUAGCUCCUCCUUUUUUCUUAAGCUACUCUCAUUACUAUGUUUUCUCUUAGAAAUCUAGGAUCUCCAUGUCCGUUUGGUACUGUCUUUUGCUAGCAUGGAGUCAUCGCUAUUUCCUCAAAUUAAUUUCAGAGGAACCAUAAAGAGGUGGUGAUGUUUAUGUGGUUCACCCUGUCUCUCCCCUGCUAAUAGAAAGUAUCUUCCCCAACGAUGCAAAUGAGACUGAGUCUCUAUCACACUCAUUUGUUAUCGUUGCUUAUGCUAGUUGGUUGAAAGUUCUCAAGUUGCCUCAUGAAUUUGAAGGAUUUCAGAAAAUUCUGCAUCAUUUUCUUCCCCAUUAAUCAAAUUCCUUAUCCUGUAAUCCUGCCAUCCAUGGUUAUGAAGGCAUUUUUCAACUAUAUAUGACCAUCUCCUUAUUAUAACAUCAAAUGCGCUAAAUUAUAUACCUAGGAAACGAUAGCCGCCCAAUUCUUUUUAACAAUAGAUAUAUGUUGAAACAAGAUAAGGUAAAAUACCAAGGUCAUAUGGGUCCUUAUGUCUUAAAAAGUGGAAGAAAGAAAAGGAUCAUCUGUCUGAAUUGUUAUUGACUUCGGUUGGAUGAGUGUUCCUUCAUCUCCUCGCCUUAUCCAAUGUAGCACUACUCAAUACUCAUAAUUAUGAAUCAAAAUUAUUUUGUAAGUUCCUGUGUAUGCUUUUCACUUCUUAUGGCUUGUGCCACUCGCAAGGGAGUAUUUGUUAGCUGCUACCUUUUCCGUUAGCAAGACCACUGAAUCUCCUCAUGCCCUUUGAGUGUGGCAUUGCGAUGGCUUUGCCCUGGUUUCAAGGUCCAUUGGCUUUGGACUAAAGUCUUCUCGCAUAAUGCCACUUCGUCUGAUUCUCAAAAAAUGAACAUGGAUGAUAAGCAAUUGAUUUCUGGUAUCCUGUAUAAUUAGUGAUCCAGCGGAAUAAAAAGUUUGUAGGCAAUAGUUGUGUUUUUAUUCAACUAUUGCUGUCUGACCAAUAUGACUAUUCAUAGGAUGCAGCUAGAUUAAAAUUUAAAUCAUCAUAAUUCCAGCAACAUUUCCUUAUUCUAUUGAAAAACAUUAUCUAAUCCAGAUGUUGUAGCAUCAGCAUGCUCAUAACUAUCUCAUCGCUUCUCUCUUUAAGCGUAAUGAAUCUCCUUUCUUUCUAUUAUAUGCUAUAUCGCCUGGUACUUGUCAGGGAUGAUUUUCGUGUUUUGCCUUCCCAGGAAUUUGGGAAUCAGAAAUAUUCUCCAUUUCCCGUUAGUCUUAUAUAUCAUUACUCACUUUCACUUAUCUCUGCAUAAUUGCUCUCUAAAUAUUUCUAGUUAUUUAAAAGGAUAUUCUGCUAUACACAUGGAUUAAUCUCUCUUCUCUCUCUCUCUCUCUCUCUCUCUCUGUGUAUGCAUUAACGUCCAUUCUUCCGAGACAAGCUUUGAUUAUGGCGUCAUCAUUCUCAUCACUGUAGGUGUAGUUUAGGUUUCGGGUUCUUGGUAAUUUGAUAAGGUCAUGCAGGUGAAUUGAGGUUAAAAUUGCACUUGUUACUUACUAUUUGUACAUCAAUGUGUGUAUGAUAUGAUUUGUAGUUAUAUCAUAUAUUCAUAUGUAACAAAGUAUUAGUGGUUUGGUUUGGUUUGGUUUCAGCCCUCCCAAUUGUAAUAAACUUUUGCAGUGAUAAGGCCACUAAUGUUGGUUCCCCCAAAAGAUUAUGAUUUCAACUU